rnacentral:tRNA from 1 species
GCGGCGGAGGCUUAGUGGUUUGGCGUAGGAUUGCAAAUCCUGAGGUCCCGAGUUCGAUCCUCGGUCGCCGCU